UGCCAAAGAGGAUCCGAAUUCGCAUGUGGAGAAGCUGAGAUCCUCUGGCACGAUGACUUCUGAAUGCAAAGAAGUUGAAGUUGGAAGCACUGUUGUGAAUGGCCUGGUACUGGGCAGUAAUGGACAAGACAGAGGUAUGUUGAAUAACAAUACAAAAUAUUAUUAGUAGCAUUAGUAUAUGAACCACCUUCUACACAAGCAUCUCAAGGCAACGGCAAUAAAAAUCGAGGGGACGUAGGUGGCGCUGUGAUCUGAACCACUGAGCCACUUGGGCUUGCUGAUCAGAAGGUUGGCAGUUUGAAUCCCCAUGACGGGGUGAGCUCCCGUUGCUCUGUCCCAGCUCCUGCCAACCUAGCAGUUCAAAAGCACACCAGUGCUAGGAGAUAGGCACCGCUGCGUGGGGAAGGUAAACGGCAUUUCCAUGCGCCCUGGCACUUGUCACAGUGUUCCAUUGCACCAGAAGCGGUGCAGUCCUGCUGGCCACAUGACCUGGAAAGCUGUCUGUGGACAAACACCAGAUCCCUUGGCCUGAAAGCGAGAUGAGCGCCACAACCCCGUAGUCUCCUUUGACUGGACUUAACUGUCCAGGGUCUUUUACCUUUAACUUUACCUUAUGUUGAAUAGGAAUACAAAACAUUAUUAU
rnacentral:lncRNA from 1 species